GAACGCUAGCGGCAGGCUUAACACAUGCAAGUCGAGGGGCAACAGGGUGCUUGCACCGCUGACGACCGGCGCACGGGUGCGUAACGCGUAUACAAUCUACCUUUUACAGGGGAAUAGCCUUUAGAAAUGAAGAUUAAUAUCCCAUAGUAAGUUUUUAUGGCAUCAUGAGAGCUUUAAAGUUUCGGCGGUAAAAGAUGAGUAUGCGUUCUAUUAGCUAGAUGGAGUGGUAACGGCACCCCAUGGCGACGAUAGAUAGGGGCCCUGAGAGGGGGAUCCCCCACACUGGUACUGAGACACGGACCAGACUCCUACGGGAGGCAGCAGUGAGGAAUAUUGGACAAUGGGCGAGAGCCUGAUCCAGCCAUGCCGCGUGCAGGAAGACUGCCCUAUGGGUUGUAAACUGCUUUUAAACGGGAAGAAACGCAUCUACGUGUAGAUGUCUGACGGUACCGUAAGAAUAAGGAUCGGCUAACUCCGUGCCAGCAGCCGCGGUAAUACGGAGGAUCCAAGCGUUAUCCGGAAUCAUUGGGUUUAAAGGGUCCGUAGGUGGAUAAUUAAGUCAGGGGUGAAAGUCUGCAGCUCAACUGUAGAAUUGCCUUUGAUACUGGUUAUCUUGAAUUAUUGUGAAGUGGUUAGAAUAUGUAGUGUAGCGGUGAAAUGCAUAGAUAUUACAUAGAAUA
rnacentral:rRNA from 1 species